rnacentral:rRNA from 1 species
AUUGAACGCUGGCGGCAUGCCUUACACAUGCAAGUCGAACGGCAGCACGGGUGCUUGCACCUGGUGGCGAGUGGCGCACGGGUGAGUAAUACAUCGGAACAUGUCCUGUAGUGGGGGAUAGCCCGGCGAAAGCCGGAUUAAUACCGCAUACGAUCUACGGAUGACAGCGGGGGACCUUCUGGCCUCGCGCUAUAGGGUUGGCCGAUGGCGGAUUAGCUAGUUGGUGGGGUAAAGGCCUACCAAGGCGACGAUCAGUAGCUGGUCUGAGAGGACGACCAGCCACACUGGGACUGAGACACGGCCCAGACUCCUACGGGAGGCAGCAGUGGGGAAUUUUGGACAAUGGGCGAAAGCCUGAUCCAGCAAUGCCGCGUGUGUGAAGAAGGUCUUCGGGUUGUAAAGCACUUUUGUCCGGAAAGAAAUCCUUGGCCCUAAUACGGGCGGGGGAUGACGGUACCGGAAGAAUAAGCACCGGCUAACUACGUG